AGAGUUUGAUCCUGGCUCAGGAUGAACGCUAGCUACAGGCUUAACACAUGCAAGUCGAGGGGCAUCAGGAAGAAAGCUUGCUUUCUUUGCUGGCGACCGGCGCACGGGUGAGUAACACGUAUCCAACCUGCCCUUUACUCGGGGAUAGCCUUUCGAAAGAAAGAUUAAUACCCGAUGGCAUAAUGAUUCCGCAUGGUUUCAUUAUUAAAGGAUUCCGGUAAAGGAUGGGGAUGCGUUCCAUUAGGUUGUUGGUGAGGUAACGGCCCACCAAGCCUUCGAUGGAUAGGGGUUCUGAGAGGAAGGUCCCCCACAUUGGAACUGAGACACGGUCCAAACUCCUACGGGAGGCAGCAGUGAGGAAUAUUGGUCAAUGGGCGCUAGCCUGAACCAGCCAAGUAGCGUGAAGGAUGAAGGCUCUAUGGGUCGUAAACUUCUUUUAUAUAAGAAUAAAGUGCAGUAUGUAUACUGUUUUGUAUGUAUUAUAUGAAUAAGGAUCGGCUAACUCCGUGCCAGCAGCCGCGGUAAUACGGAGGAUCCGAGCGUUAUCCGGAUUUAUUGGGUUUAAAGGGAGCGUAGGUGGACUGGUAAGUCAGUUGUGAAAGUUUGCGGCUCAACCGUAAAAUUGCAGUUGAUACUGUCAGUCUUGAGUACAGUAGAGGUGGGCGGAAUUCGUGGUGUAGCGGUGAAAUGCUUAGAUAUCACGAAGAACUCCGAUUGCGAAGGCAGCUCACUGGACUGCAACUGACACUGAUGCUCGAAAGUGUGGGUAUCAAACAGGAUUAGAUACCCUGGUAGUCCACACAGUAAACGAUGAAUACUCGCUGUUUGCGAUAUACAGUAAGCGGCCAAGCGAAAGCAUUAAGUAUUCCACCUGGGGAGUACGCCGGCAACGGUGAAACUCAAAGGAAUUGACGGGGGCCCGCACAAGCGGAGGAACAUGUGGUUUAAUUCGAUGAUACGCGAGGAACCUUACCCGGGCUUAAAUUGCAGUGGAAUGAUGUGGAAACAUGUCAGUGAGCAAUCACCGCUGUGAAGGUGCUGCAUGGUUGUCGUCAGCUCGUGCCGUGAGGUGUCGGCUUAAGUGCCAUAACGAGCGCAACCCUUAUCUUCAGUUACUAACAGGUCAUGCUGAGGACUCUGGAGAGACUGCCGUCGUAAGAUGUGAGGAAGGUGGGGAUGACGUCAAAUCAGCACGGCCCUUACGUCCGGGGCUACACACGUGUUACAAUGGGGGGUACAGAAGGCAGCUAGCGGGUGACCGUAUGCUAAUCCCAAAAGCCUCUCUCAGUUCGGAUCGAAGUCUGCAACCCGACUUCGUGAAGCUGGAUUCGCUAGUAAUCGCGCAUCAGCCACGGCGCGGUGAAUACGUUCCCGGGCCUUGUACACACCGCCCGUCAAGCCAUGGGAGCCGGGGGUACCUGAAGUACGUAACCGCAAGGAUCGUCCUAGGGUAAAACUGGUGACUGGGGCUAAGUCGUAACAAGGUAGCCGUACCGGAAGGUGCGGCUGGAACACCU
rnacentral:rRNA from 3 species